UCCCUCUUAGCUCAGUGGUAGAGCGCGUCACUAGUAUCAGUACGAAAUGACGAGGUCAGUCGUUCAAGUCGGCUAGCGGGAA
rnacentral:tRNA from 1 species